CCCUUUGUGAAAAAGCUCUAUUGCCGCUUUCUCCAAUUUAUGAACAAAAGCUAGGUUUUGAGACUCCCAAUAUCCCAGGGUAAAUCCAUAUGAUUUCGAUUCCAUUUUUGUUAAUCUUUUAGCAAGGAAGUAGUCAUGGUAUUUUAUUGUAAGAGUCUUCAGAUUAGGUGUUCCUUUGAGAAAGCAAGCUAUAGCAGGCACCAAAUCAUCAUUCAAAUUGAUGGUAUCUACUAAUAAGCAGCUCAAAUUACAGAAGAGAGAUGGUAGGCAACCCUGCUUAAACAAAAUCUUAUUACAUUCGUAGGCUAAAAUUAGAGUUCUACUCGUGCAUAUGCUGUGAAGUAGUC
rnacentral:misc_RNA from 1 species